AACAUCGACAUCUUGAACGCAAAUGGCGGCCUCGGGUCCAUCCCGGGGCCACGCCCGUCUGAGGGUCGGCG
rnacentral:rRNA from 1 species